rnacentral:rRNA from 1 species
UCAGCCGCCGCGGUAAUACGAGGGGUGCAAGCGUUGCUCGGAAUCAUUGGGCGUAAAGGGUAGGUAGGUGGUCUCAUUUGUCUGAGGUGAAAUCCUUGAGCUUAACUCAAGAACUGCCUCAGAAACGGUGAGACUAGAGUCUUGGAGAGGGUCGUGGAAUUCCCGGUGUAGCGGUGAAAUGCGUAGAGAUCGGGAGGAACACCAGAGGCGAAGGCGGCGACCUGGACAAGCACUGACACUCAACUACGAAAGCGUGGGGAGCAAACAGGAUUAGAUACCCUGGUAGUCCACGCUGUAAACGAUGGGUACUAGAUUUAGUGGGUCUUGACCCCCGCUGAAUCGGAGCUAACGCACUAAGUACCCCGCCUGGGAAGUACGGUCGCAAGACUAAAACUUAAAGGAAUUGGCGGGGG